rnacentral:rRNA from 1 species
UUUUUUUCCUUUUUUCUUCUGUUGUGUCGCCUAGUUGUGCGGCAGAUAAGGAAGUACCCCUCCGUUGAGGGGACGACUCGGUGGCGGAGGAGAGGGGAAGGGAGUGUCGUGGAAAAGAGGCGGCAGAAGGAACGCGGAAACUGUCAGCACGGGCCUCCUCCAGCAGUGGCCGCGGGCGUAGGAGCCGAGGGCGGCGGCUAAACGGGGCGUCUGGAAGGGAAGAAGGGGAUGACGGCGAUCGCCGCUGGGGUUCACGCUGGCAGCUAACCGCCCGCUCCUUCUCCUGGCGCGGGUUUAGCGGAGGUAACACUAAGCGCAGGUGGAGGUUGCUGGCCGUCCUGGGCACUAUACCGCUGAGGGUCCCGCGACGGCCUCCCAGGCUGCUCCUUUAGCUGGGCUCCUGCUGAAGAUGGAGUUGAAGCACCUAACCAGAAGCUUGUUACGGGAGAGCCAGCCUAACCCCUUAACGUAGAUAGCCACCUUACGUUGUCGUUCCAAGCUAAACGUAGUUUGGUUGUCUCAUUUGAAUAAAGACGCCGUCACCUUCCUAAUUACACACAGAAGCUGUGUAUAUCACUACCGGUGGCGUUGCCGCCCGUCGUACCGCUAGUUGUGACUCAGCAACUGGUAUUGGUUCCACCCGCUUUCGCCUUCCGGUACCUCGACCGCGUCCAGCAGUGGUUGCGGGAGAAGAGCGACGGCCGGUGGUUCCCGAUACUGCCGGGGCAGCAGACGGAGGCCGCCGGGUGGCUAGCGGAUGGGCCGCUCUUCGUAUAUAGUUCCUCUUCUGCACGCAGUAACGCGGUAGCUGUCCUUCUCCGACAACACAAACACAGCUUAUAAAAGAUGAUCAACCCAAUGCAAACCUGAACCACAACAUCACACCCAUCCUAUGCACAUCACUACGCCUCGUAGGAUACCUGUAGUGGUACAGUUCUCAGGCAAGCCGCUCACUGUGCCCGCCGUAGAUGAAGUGUAUGGGUUUCCACUUAGUAGAGGAAAUGUGCACAAGUGAACUGUGGAAGCUCCUACCAUAUGAUGAACUGUGAGGUGAGUACACAUACGUAUCCAUAACAGCCUUGUGAUGCCUGCUGCUCCUCCUCACGUUCGCAGUUCCUUGUUGAUGUGGUAGGCACUCCCUUCGGACCUUCGCCUCUGCUUUAUUUGCCUCGACGACCUUCGAUGUCACCGGCCUAUAGACCCGGUCUCCGGCCUGUAGGCCGCGUACGCGGCUUCUCGAAGUCAUCGGCCUGUAGGCCGGCUGGGGGCCUGUAGGCCGCGGACAGUUGUCCGGCCUGUAGGCCAUAGCGGGGCCUUUAGGUCUGUUGCCGAUAGGUAUCUUCUCGUUUUGCCGGACAAGAUCCAGCCUGUAGGCCGGUCACGGGGCCUGUAGGCCACAGAGUGCUUGCCGGCCUGUAGGCCGGGGGUCGGGCCUGUAGGCCGCGGAUGGACGCGCAUCUCAACCCGGUCUCCGGGUACAUAGAGAAAGGGUGAAUGGGGAAGCACCGAAUCUGAUAUAUAUGAUGGGGAGGAGGAUCAAUCCCAAUCGCAACCAAAUCGAGUAAACUCUCUAUCUCGAUACGAGUAGGUAUAGCCUAGAGGAGGCACGCUCUCUGGCACCGGAGAAGCCCCUUCUAGGGAAACCUAAGUUCGGGGGAAAGAUUCCCUUCCAGGGGGGCACCUAAGUUCUGGAGGAGUGCCUCUUCUUGGCCGAUGGAUACAUAGCAGGGAUCAACUAACACCUAGCAC